GCUCCACCGGAAAAAGAAGAGUGGCGAACGGGUGAGUAACACGUGGGUAACCUGCCCAUCAGAAGGGGAUAACACUUGGAAACAGGUGCUAAUACCGUAUAACAAUCAAAACCGCAUGGUUUUGAUUUGAAAGGCGCUUUCGGGUGUCGCUGAUGGAUGGACCCGCGGUGCAUUAGCUAGUUGGUGAGGUAACGGCUCACCAAGGCCACGAUGCAUAGCCGACCUGAGAGGGUGAUCGGCCACAUUGGGACUGAGACACGGCCCAAACUCCUACGGGAGGCAGCAGUAGGGAAUCUUCGGCAAUGGACGAAAGUCUGACCGAGCAACGCCGCGUGAGUGAAGAAGGUUUUCGGAUCGUAAAACUCUGUUGUUAGAGAAGAACAAGGAUGAGAGUAACUGUUCAUCCCUUGACGGUAUCUAACCAGAAAGCCACGGCUAACUACGUGCCAGCAGCCGCGGUAAUACGUAGGUGGCAAGCGUUGUCCGGAUUUAUUGGGCGUAAAGCGAGCGCAGGCGGUUUCUUAAGUCUGAUGUGAAAGCCCCCGGCUCAACCGGGGAGGGUCAUUGGAAACUGGGAGACUUGAGUGCAGAAGAGGAGAGUGGAAUUCCAUGUGUAGCGGUGAAAUGCGUAGAUAUAUGGAGGAACACCAGUGGCGAAGGCGGCUCUCUGGUCUGUAACUGACGCUGAGGCUCGAAAGCGUGGGGAGCAAACAGGAUUAGAUACCCUGGUAGUCCACGCCGUAAACGAUGAGUGCUAAGUGUUGGAGGGUUUCCGCCCUUCAGUGCUGCAGCUAACGCAUUAAGCACUCCGCCUGGGGAGUACGACCGCAAGGUUGAAACUCAAAGGAAUUGACGGGGGCCCGCACAAGCGGUGGAGCAUGUGGUUUAAUUCGAAGCAACGCGAAGAACCUUACCAGGUCUUGACAUCCUUU
rnacentral:rRNA from 1 species